rnacentral:rRNA from 1 species
UGACGCAGCGACGCCGCGUGCGGGAAGAAGGCCUUAGGGUUGUAAACCGCUUUCAGGAGGGACGAAGCCACUCGGGUUAAUAGCCCAGAGGGUGACGGUACCUCCAGAAGAAGCCCCGGCUAACUACGUGCCAGCAGCCGCGGUAAUACGUAGGGGGCAAGCGUUGUCCGGAUUCAUUGGGCGUAAAGAGCGUGUAGGCGGCCAGGUAGGUCGGUUGUGAAAACUGGAGGCUCAACCUUCAGAGGUCGACCGAAACCAUCUGGCUAGAGUCCGGGAGAGGAGAGUGGAAUUCCUGGUGUAGCGGUGAAAUGCGCAGAUAUCAGGAAGAACACCCGUGGCGAAAGCGGCUCUCUGGAACGGUACUGACGCUGAGACGCGAAAGCGUGGGGAGCGAACAGGAUUAGAUACCCUGGUAGUCCACGCCGUAAACGAUGGGCGCUAGGUGUGGGAGGUGUCGACUCCUUCCGUGCCGCAGCUAACGCAUUAAGCGCCCCGCCUGGGGAGUACGGCCGCAAGGCUA